UACGUAGGGGCUAGCGUUGUCCGGAAUCAUUGGGCGUAAAGAGCGUGUAGGCGGCCGGUAAGUCCGCUGUAAAGUCAAGGCUCAACCUUGAAUGUCAGUGGAUACUGCCGGCUAGAGUCCGGAAGAGGCGAGUGGAACUCCUGGUGUAGCGGUGAAUGCGCAGAUAUCAGAGGAACACCGAUGGCGAAGGCAGGUCUCUGGCCACUACUGACGCUGAGAAGCGAAGCAUGGGGAGCGAACAGG
rnacentral:rRNA from 1 species